rnacentral:ncRNA from 2 species
GGUCACGAGUACCAGUGUUCAGCCCCGGCUUGCUGGUCGGCAACCCUCCUCCGCGGUGGGGUGCUCCGGGUGACGACCCGGCUGCGUUCGAAAACGAAUGCGGCAAGCGCGGACU